AUUAUUUUGGCAGAAAAGUGCGAUGGAUUUAGAAUCUUUAUAUGUAAAUUAUACAAAUAAUA
rnacentral:tRNA from 1 species